AUGACAGCUAUUUCCUGGCUCAUCGGUCUGAAGGCUUGCUUGGAUUUGUACGGCUUUAUUACCCAGAUGGAGCAUAACGUCCUUCAGAGGUGGGGAAAGUUUUGUCCUGCUUAGCAGCCUGAAUGGAAACAGAAAAAAAAAACACCUUUGGAGUGGUUACAGACACCUUUCUUCUAUCUAAAAGGUGAAACAGGUGGACAGAAGCUGAGAACUGUCAGAACAAUGGACUUAACCAAACAGUUCCAAACGAAGAACACCUUCAUAAUCCUGACAAAUGUCUGUCUCCUGUGACAAUUGAAAAUCAAGGGAAAUAUGUUUGGAAGUUCCACAUAGAGGUUGCUUUGUUUUUUUUAAUCUAUGUGAUGUUUUUGCCUCAAAAUUAAAAAAAAAAAAAAGCCAUUUGGGAGAGGACACUAUUCAGAAGGUCUUUGACCACUCUUUACCUCCUGUUUGACAAAUAAGGAUUAAACUUCCUGGCUUUAUUCAAGAGUACACUAAUUUAUUCUCCUGCUAUCAUAACCAAGACUCAGAUUCUAGUCUAAUUUCCUGGGCAUGAAGGUUAUGGGAUUUGCAGCCCAGCAUUUCUGAAAAAUCAUCUCGGUGGAGAAGGCACCCUUGGUGAUUCAAGCAAGAAGAAAACAUUCUGACCAUUCCCAGUCAGGUAUGAGUGAUGACAUCAUUGGACCUUUUGUGAAGCUUUCCCCCUUCUUACAGAUUCUGGAACCCAAAGAGAAAGGAAGCCAUGGUGGAAACCAUCCUAGAAACGUGGACAAUUGUCUUGGUGAUCCUUGCCACAGUGUUAAUCAUGACCAUAAUGACGUUUCUCCUUCCCGCUGUGGUAUUGCUCUUGAGGAUGAGGUCUUUGUCACAGAUAUCCUUAGAUGGAACUGUCUAACCUGCCUCUUUACACAGUGCUGGGUGGUUUUUAAAUGCUUUGGACUGCUUGGGAAUUAAGACCAGGAAGAGGAAGCAAUCUCCAAAUCUGUGUGAUGUCUCUCUUGGAUGACUCCUCUGACUCUUCCUUGGGCUUGAGGGAGGAUGAGCUCAUUCCUGGCAUGUCAGGAACUGGGAUAAUUAAUGACUCUGAACAGCUGGUGGAAAGAGAGUUAUAGGGGGCUUCAGCUGGGGACAGUUUGCAAGUCAGGGAAGAGGAGGAGCUGCCUUCUGUGUUAGAGAGCACGCAGGGCAGUGAAAAGACAAGCGCAAAGGAGAUCUGCCAAAUUACUCGGGAGAAGGCCCAGCCUGUCUUGAUGGGCUGCACCGGAAAACCAUUUAUCAUGUCAGGCAGAGGGAAGGCUGAGGGGAAUCAAAUCCUUCCUAACAGUAGCUAUAAAUAUUGCAUUUGUGUGUAUGCAUAUAGAUUAUAUAUAGAUGAAUAUGUAAAUUUAAUGCAGGAGAAACCAUGUCCCCCCCCCCCCCAAAAAAAAAAAUUCAAUGUAAAUAUGAAACUUUUGCAAUUAGGAAAAACAUCAGAAGAAAGUGAGAGGUUGCAAUGAACUUUUAUGGUUUCAGUUCUUCACUCUGUCUUCCUAUCACAUAAUGCGUGAUCAGACUGUGGUUGGAAAUGAUUACAAAAAAGAAAAGAAAAGAGGAAAUCCGCUGAUGAGAUUUGGAUAGAUUACUGAUCAGAAAGAGUUUCCAUUGUCCAGGCACUCAACAACAGUUAGAAUAGAAUAACAGAGUUGGAAGGGACCUUGGAGGUCUUCUAGUCCAACCCCCUGCCUAGGCAGGAAACCCAUUUCAGAGAAAUGGUUAUCCAACAUCUUUUUAAAAACUUCCAGUAUUGGAGCAACCACAACUUUGGGAGGCAAGUUCUUCCACUGAUUGAUUGUUCUGUCAGGAAAUUUCUCCUAGUUCUAAGUUUGAUGAUGGUUGUGUCCAUAAAGUUUGCAUGG